ACCUAGCUGACGAGUCUUAAAUAGGACGAAAUGUGCGCCCUAGAU
rnacentral:hammerhead_ribozyme from 1 species